rnacentral:lncRNA from 1 species
ACGAAAAUUCCAGCCAUAUUUCACAUGGACUCAGGAUGGAAUCAGGGUGUAAUGGACACAAAUUUUCAACAUUCAGGCCUGAAUUGACAUGGACCCUGACUUUGCUAAAACUCCACAUGGAAAAUGAGAACUAGUCUACCCUGACUCCAGCUGGACAAAGACAAUAUUCAGGGUGGAAUACAGAAAAUUUGAACUUUGGUUAUUUUGUGAGACAGAAUAUUUUCACUUGGAAAACCUUUGUAUUUUCUAUCCUGACUUUUAUAACUUAGAAUUUUUUUUCACAUGUGAUUUUAAAACUUAGUUACUAUACAGACCCUGAUUUUCUAAACUUAGAAAAAAUGCUAUUCUGAACAUUCAAUUGGCCUUAUCAAGCUGUGAUUACUUUUGUAUUAUAUUCAAUGUUUAUAUUAAUUAGUCAGUUUUUCAAUCAACAAUCCUGAUAGAUAGAAAAAAUAUAAAUGUAAUAGACAGAAAAAAAAUAUAAAUACAUUUAAAUCAGUUUAUAGUGCCCUAUUCUAUAAAGUGUGUCUGCUGUGUAUUGUUUCUGCAUGAGUGAAAGUUGGUUAAAGACAGAUCAAGUUACAAGUUCUCCACUAAUGUUUACAACUCCAGGUGGAAUUUGGGUCAAGAUUUGUAUACAUGCAGGCAAGCAUCAGGUCAGAUGCAAAGAAAUAGUUCUUGCCUUUUCUCCUGAUUAAUUAAAAAAAGAAUAAUGAAAUGUAUAUAAAAAGGAUGUUUUUUCAGUAGCUGAGACUUCAACUAAAAUAUUUGACAACCUUCUUUAGCUGUCCAAAACAGUGUAGGUGUUAAAUUAUAUAUCUGUGUAGUAAUACCAAGAUUUGAAAUUGGCAUUUGAUGAAUCAGUCAGGGAGAAAAUGGAGGCACAUUGUGAAUGGAACUUUCUGUGAAAAAGUGCUACUUUGUGACAUGAUGAUCUCACUUAUGUUACCUGAGCAGCAUAAAAGUUAUUACUGCAGCAAAGAAACAUAUCAAGAUAAUUCUGAAUCAGGUUUUUUGCCAGCAUUUUGAAAAGAUUUCCUAAUGAAGAUGUGCAUGGACUAGGCAGUCACCCACCCAAGAUGACUUUUCAAGAAAGUGUUUAAAUGAUAUAAAGACAAAGUGGAAAAUGAAAAAGAUGAUGGACUAAAAGGCCAUCAGUGAUCGACCUUUUCUGUGUUACAUGAAUAAAGUCAAGGUGGAUUUUAAUGUGUUUCAUGUCAGGAGCUGACUGGAAUGUGAACUGAAGAUAAAUACAAACAAAAUAUAAAUACAUAGAAUUCUGGUUAAAAAAUAUACCCUGAUUCCACCAUGACUUUUAUCUAAAAGUAUGGAUAUAUUCAUUUGAAAUUCCAGCCUGAAUUUUUUGUCAGGAUGGAUUUUAAUCAGGGUGGAUAUUUUGCUGUUUAAUUUAAAUUUUACAUGUAAAAUUCGAGCCUGAAAGUGUUCUUUAGUUAUAUUAAAAAAUGUUUAAAAUAGAAUUCUGGUUAGAACAAUUCCACCCUGACUUUUAUCUAAAUUCCAUGUCAGUCUGCCUGUAUUCCAUGUGAACUUUUCUCUUGAUUUUCCACCCAGAAUUUUUUUCAGUAUGGAUUUAAUCGGGGUGGAUAUUUUUCUGUCUAAUUUAAAUACUACAUGUAAAAUUCGAGCCUGAAAGUGUUCUUCAGUUAUAUUAAAAUUGUUUAAAAAUA